UACGUAGGGCGCAAGCGUUGUUCGGAAUUACUGGGAGUAAAGCGCACGUAGGCGGGCAAUUAAGUCAGGGGUGAAAUCCUGAGGCUCAAACUCGGAAUUGCCUUUGAUACUGGUUGGCUUGAGGUCGGGAGAGGUUGGUGGAAUUCCUAGUGUAGAGGUGAAAUUCGUAGAUAUUAGGAAGAACACCAGUGGCGAAGGCGGCCAACUGGCCCGAAUCUGACGCUGAGGUGCGAAAGCGUGGGGAGCAAACAGG
rnacentral:rRNA from 1 species